CAGCCGCCGCGGUAAUACAGAGGCCUCAAGCGUUGUUCGGAUUCAUUGGGCGUAAAGGGUGCGUAGGUGGCUUGGUAAGUUGAAGGUGAAAUCUCGGGGCUUAACCCCGAAACUGCCUUCAAUACUGCUAGGCUCGAGGACUGUAGAGGAGAAUGGAAUUCACGGUGUAGCAGUGAAAUGCGUAGAUAUCGUGAGGAAGACCAGUGGCGAAGGCGAUUCUCUGGGCAGUUCCUGACACUGAGGCACGAAGGCCAGGGGAGCAAACGGGAUUAGAUACCCCCGUAGUCCCUGUCUCUUAUAA
rnacentral:rRNA from 1 species